rnacentral:lncRNA from 1 species
CCGUGCCAGCCAUGCUUUUGCCAGGAAGAGGCGAUAGGUGUUGAGCCCUGCAGACUUGGGUGCAAGCGAAGACCCAAGCUGCCUGAGAAGAGUAGGGGUGCCCCAUGGGGCCCACACUGAACUAUUGCAUAUGCACCAAAGCCAGCCCCAAUUGGCACAAGGGUUCACAGAGCCAGCCUGUGGCUCUGACGUCUACCAGCAUGCAGACUGUGAAGAUGCAGGCCGCGAUAUACGGGAGCAGAGGUGCCCAGAACAUGCUGUCCCCCAAUGCCAGCCACAAGUGGGGCUAUCUGAGGGUGUGAUGGGUGAAGCUGUCCUGCAGCUCUGAGAUCCACGAGGCAGAGGCAGCAGUAGCGCUGGACUCCACUGCUUUGGAGGCUGCCCAGUCGAAUUUGGGAGCCAGCAAGAGUCCUGACAGCAGCACAUUGGCCACCAGAAGACACCCAAAGGUAGGGAGGCGGCAGAUACUGCUUAAGUUCAGGAGCUCCUCUGGCCAUUGCUGACCCAAGUUCCCCCAGAGGCAUCCACAGCCUGGGGCUCCUUCCUCCUGCCUAGAGUUUGCUUUCCUAUGCCCAGGCCCCAACCAGGAGGACUGGCUCUGCCUCGAGUCCUGAUCCCUUCUUCUUUCCCUGCUGUUUCCAGCCGGUUUCUUACUUUCCUCCUACCUACCCCAAUGCCCAGUUCUGUUUCCUCCUCUUCUUCCCCUAGGCUGGCUGAAAACUAAGUUUCAAAAUACAAAAUGAAUGCUACAGAUUUCAUUGCUGUAGAUGAAAUGCUGACAGCUUUUCUAUUUAAACUCUGGUUGUUCUUUUCAUUUCUUUAAACAUUAGAAUAAUUAAGCCUCAUGAUAGAUGUGCCUUUGUAACUUGAAAGUACGACACUCAAUUGUCACAAUUUAAAAAAAUUUUUAAUUUUUCUUUUCAUAAAUUUUUGGCAAACAGGUAGUAUUUAGUUAUUAACUCCUUUAGUGGAGAUUUGUGAGAUUUUGGUGAACCAAUCACCCAAGCAGUGCACACGGAAUCCAAUUUGUAGUCUCUUAUCUUUCUCCCCCUUCCUACCAUUUUCCCCUGGUAUCAUUCUUUUUUUUGAGACUGAGUCUCAUUCUGUCACCCAGGCUGGAAUGCUAUGUCGUGACGUCAGCUCGCUGCAACCCUUGCUUCCUGAGUUCAUGUGGUCCUCCUGCUUCAGCCUCCCGAGUACCUGGGAUUAGAGGCGUGGGUCACGACGCCCAACUAAAUUUUUUGUAUUUUUAGUCGUGACUGGGUUUCACCAAAUUGGCCAGUCUGUUCUCGAACUCCUGACUUCAAGUGAUGCGCCUGCCUUGGCCUCCCCUAGGGCUGUGAUUACAGGAAUGAGCCACCAGAACCCAGCCAAAUAUUCCCCACUGCCUUCUUUUUUGCUUUUUUCCUAAUCUCCUGAAGUCAUUCUUUGAGUUGUCAUGUAGAUUAAUAGGUUUCUCAAAUUACUGGAAAACUAGUUGAAGAAAUAAACAGGCAGUUUGUGAAUAUUAGAUAGAACAGUGGUGCUGAGCAUGGCUAAAGCAUCUCUGCAUUCACAGGGAGAGGAGCGGAAGACCUUCUGGUGUGGGCUGGGCAGCAAUUCACUUGAAGGAGAAACAGCCCCGGUGUGGAGAGGCGGCCAUCCUUGGCGGGAUCCUUUCUAAGGAGCCGAGAAAUCAACGUAGAGCUUCCUCUGUCUGAUUCUCUAACAACUGCAGACCUUCCAUGAGUCAAGCUUUGUGUCAAAAGGACAAAUAAAAAGGACCUAUAAAAGGCAUCACCAAGCCCAAUGGACAGAUGCCCCAGGCUGCACAUUCUGUCAGUGCUGUUCUGGAAAAGGCCCAAACACAUGCUGAAACAUCGAAGGAUAAGAAGCCAGCCCUCGGGAACCGGCAGGAGCACUCUGGGCCCCGCACGGCCCCAAGUCCAGCCUGCCCCGCCUCCUCUGGUGCAGAGGUCCAGGGAUACCAGCAGCAGCCCCGCCACGCCCCUCCAAGGCCAAGAACACAGGCGGCAGGGGCUUCCCCUCCCUGCCAGACUACUUCCUGCCGCCACAGCCACCACCCUUGGACGACCCAGAGCUCCCGCCGCCCCUGGACUUCGUGCUCCCUCCC